rnacentral:lncRNA from 10 species
AUAAAGCCUUCUUUGGCAAUACUUGUUACUGAAGUGACUGGCUUUCUGUGAGAGCAAGCAGCAGGACCUAGUCCAAACCCCUGGCAUUUUUGUAACUGUUACGUGCAUCCGUUUGAAGAGACCAGCAAACAGGCUUUGUGUGAGCAAUAAAGCUUUUAAUUACCUGGGUGCAAGUGUCCUGAGUCCGAAAAAGGAGUCAGCAAAGGGAGAUAGGGGUGGUGCAGUGUUAUAGGAUUUGGAGGUGGGCUUUGAUCUCUCUCUCUCUGUGGUCCACUGCCUCUGGCCUCAGCCGCAUUCCUGAUUGCCUAGGAAGAACAACCUUUGACAUUUGACAUCUGCAUCUGAAUGGGGCAAUACUGAACUCAUAGAAUGAAUUGGGAAGUACUUCCCCUGUGUCUAUCUUCUGGAAGAGACUGUAAAAGCCAUGUGAGGACACCUAGAUGAUGUCAUUUAUGAGGAAAGGGCCUUCAUCAGACUCUGGUCCUGCUGGUGCCUUGAUCUUGGACUUCCUACUCUCCAGAACUGCACAUCAUUAAAAUAUCAACUUUGGCAGAGACGUGGAGCAAGAUGACUGCAUAGAAGUUUCUACUGAUCAUUUCCCACCGCUUCCACGGGAACACCAAGUUUGAUAUCCACACAAAGGGAGCACCUUCAAAGGAAGCAAAAAUCAGAUACAUUCCCAUUGAGGCACGAAAAUGGAUCUAGCCACAGCUCUGAUGAUAUUGCUUUGCCUUUAACAGUACCUCCCAUUAGUCUCUUGCACCAAGAUGCACAUUUUUCAGUUUACAUAGUGGAUUUCAUCAUUCUACUAGAAAGCCUCCACUUUGUUUCUGAUUCAGUUUCAGUUUCCAAACCAGGUGCUUUGUCCCUCACUGACUGUUUUGGAUGACCUCUAGUUUUUCCCCAAGGUUCUAAAUUUAGUUUGGCUUUUAUUUGGCCAUCAUUUUAAUUCCCACUUUUUGUUUUGGUGCUGUUGAUUGUACAAUCCAACCAUCUCUACCUUUCAAUAUUUGCAGGUUUCUUUUUUCCUGUUUGUCUUGAACAUUCUGAUUUUUCCUAACCUUUGAGUCACCUGCCUCUGUUUUACCAUGUCAUUGAAUUAUGGUUUAGUCAAGUGGAAAGACAAGCUCCUGUCACUGCCUAUAGCACUGCCUAGUUUCCUUCCAAUUAUCAAUAAAAUUCUUUGUUAUUAGGUUUCUUCUGUUCCACUAUAAGCUCAAGUAAUUCACAACAAUAAAACAAGACAAAAAUAAUUAACAUUCACGAGAAUAAAGAGCAGCCAUUAAAUCAUGAAGUUAUCAGGGUAAGUAUGCCUUUGAGAUGGUCUGUGCCUCUCUGACCUUCUGUUCUGGAACUGAUGUACCCAAUCAGUCAAUUUUACUGAUGUACAACAAAUUAUGUUCUAUAUAUUUUUUCAAACCAUUGAUGAAAUUUGAACACUGAGGCUACCAACUUCUCUCUCUGUACUUUUUGCUUAAACUGG